GUGCUCUUGACCGAGCGGCAGAGGUGCCAGGCUUCCAACCUGGUGAGAUGGGUUCGAUUCCCAUAGAGCACU
rnacentral:tRNA from 1 species